rfam:Danio rerio chromosome 14, GRCz11 reference primary assembly.
CUUGUCCUCAUUUGUAAAUCGCUUUGGAUAAAAGCGUCUGCUAAAUGACUAAAU